rnacentral:rRNA from 1 species
UGGGGAAUUUUGGACAAUGGGGGAAACCCUGAUCCAGCCAUCCCGCGUGUGCGAUGAAGGCCUUCGGGUUGUAAAGCACUUUUGGCAGGAAAGAAACGUCGCGGGUUAAUACCCCGCGAAACUGACGGUACCUGCAGAAUAAGCACCGGCUAACUACGUGCCAGCAGCCGCGGUAAUACGUAGGGUGCAAGCGUUAAUCGGAAUUACUGGGCGUAAAGCGUGCGCAGGCGGUUCGGAAAGAAAGAUGUGAAAUCCCAGAGCUUAACUUUGGAACUGCAUUUUUAACUACCGGGCUAGAGUGUGUCAGAGGGAGGUGGAAUUCCGCGUGUAGCAGUGAAAUGCGUAGAUAUGCGGAGGAACACCGAUGGCGAAGGCAGCCUCCUGGGAUAACACUGACGCUCAUGCACGAAAGCGUGGGGAGCAAACAGGAUUAGAUACCCUGGUAGUCCACGCCCUAAACGAUGUCAACUAGCUGUUGGGGCCUUCGGGCCUUGGUAGCGCAGCUAACGCGUAAGUUGACCGCCUGGGGAGUACGGUCGCAAGAUUAAAAACUCAAAUG